rnacentral:rRNA from 1 species
UACGUAGGGUGCAAGCGUUGUCCGGAAUUAUUGGGCGUAAAGAGCUCGUAGGCGGUUUGUCGCGUCUGCUGUGAAAUCCCGAGGCUCAACCUCGGGCCUGCAGUGGGUACGGGCAGACUAGAGUGCGGUAGGGGAGAUUGGAAUUCCGUGGUGUAGCGGUGGAAUGCGCAGAUAUCGAGGAGGAACACCGAUGGCGAAGGCAGAUCUCUGGGCCGUAACUGACGCUGAGGAGCGAAAGCAUGGGGAGCGAACAGG